rnacentral:rRNA from 1 species
GAUGAACGCUGGCGGCGUGCCUAAUACAUGCAAGUAGAACGCUGAAGCUUGGUGCUUGCACCGAGCGGAUGAGUUGCGAACGGGUGAGUAACGCGUAGGUAACCUGCCUCUUAGCGGGGGAUAACUAUUGGAAACGAUAGCUAAUACCGCAUAAAAGACGAUAUCGCAUGAUAUUGACUUGAAAGAUGCAAUUGCAUCACUAAGAGAUGGACCUGCGUUGUAUUAGCUAGUUGGUGAGGUAACGGCUCACCAAGGCGACGAUACAUAGCCGACCUGAGAGGGUGAUCGGCCACACUGGGACUGAGACACGGCCCAGACUCCUACGGGAGGCAGCAGUAGGGAAUCUUCGGCAAUGGGGGCAACCCUGACCGAGCAACGCCGCGUGAGUGAAGAAGGUUUUCGGAUCGUAAAGCUCUGUUGUAAGAGAAGAACGAGUGUGAGAGUGGAAAGUUCACACUGUGACGGUAACUUACCAGAAAGGGACGGCUAACUACGUGCCAGCAGCCGCGGUAAUACGUAGGUCCCGAGCGUUAUCCGGAUUUAUUGGGCGUAAAGCGAGCGCAGGCGGUUAGAUAAGUCUGAAGUUAAAGGCUGUGGCUUAACCAUAGUACGCUUUGGAAACUGUUUAACUUGAGUGCAGAAGGGGAGAGUGGAAUUCCAUGUGUAGCGGUGAAAUGCGUAGAUAUAUGGAGGAACACCGGUGGCGAAAGCGGCUCUCUGGUCUGUAACUGACGCUGAGGCUCGAAAGCGUGGGGAGCAAACAGG